UCCCCGAGCCCCUCCCCGGGUCCCGCCCCUUCCCGGGACAGGACCCCCCUUGCUCCCGGACGCCCCGCUGCACCCCAGGAGUUCCAUUCCCACCUCCCUAGUGCGAGUGCGGCCGUGCGCUGACUUUUGGGGGCUCCCUCCCCCGUCUCACAGGGCCCUGCUGCGGCUCCCUCCCUGGGUCCCGACUCAGACGUGGCUGCACCCAGGAGGGGGGCGCCGGCCGAGACUGGAGACGUGGCGCGCCAGCUCUGCUGGCCUCUGCUCCAGUGCCUGAAUUUCAACCACAUCCCUAAGCUGCCAUCUCAGACCGAGAAACAGGGAGGGGGGCUGGAAAGAGCAUCACCUGGAAGAAGUCAGGACAUGACUGUGGGCCAUGAGUGACCUUCAAAGGAAAGCUGGGUAUCUGUGGUCUUUAAGAUGUGAUUAAGAUUGUAUUAAAAUUAUAGAAAAACCUCAAUCC